rnacentral:rRNA from 1 species
UACAGAGGGUGCGAGCGUUAAUCGGAGUUACUGGGCGUAAAGGGCGCGUAGGCGGUUAUAUAAGUGAGAUGUGAAAUCCCUGGGCUUAACCUAGGAACUGCAUCUCAUACUGUAUGACUGGAGUAUUGUAGAGGGUAGUGGAAUUUCCGGUGUAGCGGUGAAAUGCGUAGAGAUCGGAAGGAACACCAGUGGCGAAGGCGGCUACCUGGACAAAUACGUG